AGGCUAUGAUGAGAAAAGUCAUGCACCACUCUGAAGAGAUUUCUCUUUGUGCUGAUAAACAAACUUACAAACCAUUUUACAUCUGAGCCG
rnacentral:snoRNA from 3 species